UAGGUGAUAGUGUAGUGGGAGCACUAAGAGUUUUGAUCUCUUAAGCAUGGGUUCAAGUCCCUUUCUCCUAA
rnacentral:tRNA from 1 species